GCCUCUAUAGCUUAGUGGUAGAGCAUCACACUUGUAAUGUGGGGGUCCCGUGUUCAAACCACGGUGGAGGCUUA